rnacentral:rRNA from 1 species
GACGAACGCUGGCGGCGUGCUUAACACAUGCAAGUCGAACGAAGAGCGAUGGAAGCUUGCUUCUAUCAAUCUUAGUGGCGAACGGGUGAGUAACGCGUAAUCAACCUGCCCUUCAGAGGGGGACAACAGUUGGAAACGACUGCUAAUACCGCAUACGAUCUAAUCUCGGCAUCGAGGAUAGAUGAAAGGUGGCCUCUACAUGUAAGCUAUCACUGAAGGAGGGGAUUGCGUCUGAUUAGCUAGCUGGAGGGGUAACGGCCCACCAAGGCGAUGAUCAGUAGCCGGUCUGAGAGGAUGAACGGCCACAUUGGGACUGAGACACGGCCCAGACUCCUACGGGAGGCAGCAGUGGGGAAUCUUCCGCAAUGGACGAAAGUCUGACGGAGCAACGCCGCGUGAGGGAUGACGGCCUUCGGGUUGUAAAGCUCUGUUAAUCGGGACGAAAGGCCUUCUUGCGAAUAGUGAGAAGGAUUGACGGUACCGGAAUAGAAAGCCACGGCUAACUACGUG